GAGUGAAGCGGUAAAAGCUCAAAUUUGAAAUCUGGCUCUUUCAGAGUCCGAGUUGUAAUUUGUAGAAGAUGCUUCGGGUGUGGUUCCGGUCUAAGUUCCUUGGAACAGGACGUCAUAGAGGGUGAGAAUCCCGUAUGUGACUGGAUACCUAUGCUCAUGUGAAGCUCUUUCGACGAGUCGAGUUGUUUGGGAAUGCAGCUCAAAAUGGGUGGUAUAUUUCAUCUAAAGCUAAAUAUUGGCCAGAGACCGAUAGCGCACAAGUAGAGUGAUCGAAAGAUGAAAAGCACUUUGGAAAGAGAGUUAAACAGUACGUGAAAUUGUUGAAAGGGAAGCGCUUGCAACCAGACUUGCACUUGUGUUCAUUGGGAUUUCUAUCUUAUGCACUUCAACAAGUUCAGGCCAGCAUCAGUUUGGGUGGUUAGAUAAAGGCUUAGAGAAUGUGGCCCUCUUCGGGGGGUGUUAUAGCUCUAGGUGCAAUGUAGCCUACCUGGACUGAGGACCGCGCUUCGGCUAGGAUGCUGGCAUAAUGGUUGUAAGCGACCCGUCUUGAAACACGGACCAAGGAGUGUACCUAAUAUGCGAGUGUUUGGGUGUUAAACCCAUACGCGUAAUGAAAGUGAACGGAGGUGAGAACCCUUAAGGGUGCAUCAUCGACCGGUCCUGAUGUCUUCGGAUGGAUCUGAGUAAGAGCAUAUUGGGUGCGACCCGAAAGAUGGUGAUCUAUACGUGAAUAGGGUGAAGCCAGAGGCUCUGGUGGAGGCUCGCAGC
rnacentral:rRNA from 1 species